GUAUUUGCUAAGCACUCACUAUGUGCCGAGCACUGUUCUAAGCGCUGGGGUAGACAUAGGGGAAUCAGGUCGUCCCACGCGGGGCUCACAGUCUUCAUCCCCAUUUUACAGAUGAGGGAACUGAGGCCCAGAGAAGUGAAGUGACUCGCCCACAGUCACACAGCUGACAAGCGGCAGAGCCGGGAGUCGAACUCGUGUCCUCUGACUCCCAAGCCCGGGCUCUUUCCACUAGACCACGCUGCUUCUCUUGCGUUUAUUCCGCUACACUCAAUAGCUCGUCUCGACUGCUUGUGAUAUGAAUACUUCUGUGACCGUCUCCCUCAUUAGAGGGUGAGCUCCUUGAGGGGACGAACUGUGUCACGUCUUGAUUUUGUCUCCUCCCAGUACCCGUUCACACUCACCGAAACAUUACGAUUCUACGGUGAUGAGGGCACGUCCGGGAUCAGAAUCCACGUCCUCGAACCCCCGGACCCACGCUCUCCCCACUAGGCCCCGCCGCUUCUUCAUUACAAGACGAAGAGAGGCCUCCAGGGGCUCAUUCCCAAAUUCCCCAGCGUGGCUCAGUGGAAAGAGCACGGGCUUGAGGGGUCAUGAGUUCGAAUCCCGGCUCUGCCCCUUGUCAGCUGUGUGACCGUGGGCGAGCCACUUCAGUUCUCUGGGCCUCAGUGACCUCAUCUGUAAAACGGGGAUUAACCGUGAGCCUCACGUGGGACAACCUGAUGACCCUGUAUCUACCCCAGCGCUUAGAACAGUGCUCUGCACGUAGGAAGCGCUUAACAAAUACCAACAUUAUUAUUCCCCGAGCUGAGCCGUUCCUGGCGGGGAGCCGCUUCGUGCUCCGAACAACGGGCGCGGUCGGCAGAACCGCUUCCGCUUUCCCUUCCCGGGAUCACCGGGACGGGACCGGCUCCGGAGGCCUUGAGUUUCCACUUGGAUCAUUCAGCGAGACAGAACCCGAGAGCCCUAUUCCACAGACCGACUAAUCUGUAUCUUCCCCAGCGCUCGGAACAGUGCUGGACACACGGUAAGCCCUCAACAGAUGCCAUAAUAAUAAUAUUGACAAUGAAUCCAAGAUGGUGGAUGAUUCCAAGAUGGCAGAGAAAGCUCGGAGAGGCCAGAGAUUGGAGCGCGAGGCCGAAGGGAACCGUCUGUUCCUCAGGGAUCAGCUAAGCCACGGUCGGGCUGGCCGCGCCAACAGUCCGACCUCGACGCGGCAUCUCUGUGCCGUAACAGUGUCGUGACAGGUCGGAAUGACUAGAUACCUAACCGGGGAUGAGGGUGCUUCCUUGUCCCGCACCUCAUCGAUGGGUCAGUCAUUGAAUUGCAUUUAUUGAGUGCUUACUGGGUGCAGGGCUUGGGAGAGUACGGUACAACGGAAUUGGCAGACACAUUCCCUGCUCACAAAAGCUUACAUUCUAGAGGGGGAGAUGGACAUUAAUAUAAACCGUGCAAAUGUACAUGACUCCUGUGCGGCCGAGAAGGGGGAGGAGUAAAGGGAGAAAAUCAUCGUGCGAGGGCGAUACAGAAGGGAGAGGGAGAAGAGGAAAUCAGAGCUGAGUCGGAGAAGGCCCCUUGGAGGAGUCGUGCCUUCAGUAAGGCUUCAGAGGUGAGGAGAUGAAGAGGGAGUAUGUGGUCCAGAGGCGGGACGCGGGCGGGAGGUCUGUGACAAGAUGGACAUUAGGUCCACAUCACUGCCCGAGUUGGGUAGGGGUUUGGAGUUUGGGGCCGCGUCCAGGUAGGACCCCCGGGGAACAAGAUGGUGGGUGGCGGGAGCUUGCGCUCAGGAAGACGCUUGACCAAACUGGCAUUUUGGGAGCCUGUCCGGGCUGCUCUCUGGAGUGAAUCUGGGCCCGGCAGGGAGGUCUGCUUCGUUAAGACGGCGGGAGGAGAGUGCUCCUGCGGGAAAUCACGGGGCCGGUCAGUCCGGUUCUCGCGCCGGAUGGACAGAAGAGCAGUUCUCGUUCCCGGCGCGGUAGGACUCCGGCAACCAAUCCCGGCCGCGGGGGUCCUCCCCCAGACCGAGGUCCCUGGGACGGCACGCGUCCGGGAGGUCUGUUGUGUCAGCACCUGAGCCCUUUCCACACCCCACAGCGAGCGGGGAGAAGGGACGAGAGGAGAGCAGUCCACCGCUUUCUUCCCCGCCGUCCCU
rnacentral:lncRNA from 1 species